CACAGGAAGUACAAAAGUAGUUAGGUGUGACAUGACUCAGUGUUGGUUCAAGCUUCAGAAGUCUAAUCCCAAGUAGUCUGCUUUAGGCAUAUUUUUUUUUGGGGGUUCUUUUUUUUUUU
rnacentral:sRNA from 1 species